CCUGGCCACGCACGGGUGGUUUGAGCUCAUCUUGUUGCAAGCCGCUGAAGAAAUUGCUGAGGAUUUGAUAGCACUUGCAGGUCUGGGAGCUGAAUGGCAGAAGGCUCUGCAGGAAUCCUGGAUUUCCGUGAAUAGAUGGAAUUGAAAUUUAAAGAUAUCGUCUAAAUAGAAGGAGAGCAGCAGUAAUGAAAGCAGACCCGGUCUCCUCCAGUAACCCAUCUUCUGGAUCCGGCCAGUGACCAGAAGCCCAGCUUCACGGCGUUGACCAAUUCAUCUUCCC